UUGCUGGUACCCAAACGGUGUUAGCAUUUUUUGUCUUGGGCAUUUGAGUAUGGCUCACGUGUAUUUAUUGGACAGAUCUGAGUGUAAGUUACGGUCGCAUGCGACACGUGCUUUUCAAUUAGUUCGGUCCAGUUAAUGCUCUCGUACUCGUUCCCCAUGUAAAAGCCGGAAUGGGUACAAUUUAAACCCUUUAACGAGUAUCAAGCAGAGGGCAAGUCUGGUGCCAGCAGCCGCGGUAAUUCCAGCUCUGCAAAUACAUAGAAUUAUUGCUGCGGUUAGAAAGCUCAUAGUUGGAUUCGUAUCGAUACCUUGGAACCCUUCGGGUGUCUCUAGGUGUUAUCGAUUUAUCGUAAUGUUCGGUUUUGAGUCCUUAACAGGAUUCUUAACAGGCAUUGCAAGUUUACUUUGAACAAAUCAGAGUGCUUCAAACAGGCGUUUUCGCUUGAAUGAUCGUGCAUGGAAUAAUAGAAAAUGAUUUCGGUUCAGUUUUAUUGGUUUACGGACUGAGAUAAUGGUUAACAGAGACAAACGGGGGCAUUUGUAUUUUCCCGUGAGAGGUGAAAUUCUUGGACCGUGGCCAGACAAACUACAGCGAAAGCAUUUGCCAAGAAUGUUUUUAUUAAUCAAGAACGAAAGUCAGAGGUUCGAAGGCGAUCAGAUACCGCCCUAGUUCUGACCGUAAACGAUGCCAACUAGCGAUCCGCCGAUGGAAAUUAUAUUGCCUUGGUGGGGAGCUUCCCGGAAACGAAAGUCUUCCGGUUCCGGGGGAAGUAUGGUUGCAAAGCUGAAACUUAAAGGAAUUGACGGAAGGGCACCACCAGGAGUGGAGCCUGCGGCUUAAUUUGACUCAACACGGGGAAACUCACCCGGCCCGGACACUGUGAGGAUUGACAGAUUGAUAGCUUUUUCAUGAUUCAGUGGAUGGUGGUGCAUGGCCGUUCUUAGUUCGUGGAGUGAUUUGUCUGGUUUAUUCCGAUAACGAGCGAGACUCUAACCUACUAAAUAGUUGGUACAUACUCUUAGUGUAUACAGCUUCUUAGAGGGAUUUGCGGCGUUCAGCCGAAAGAAAUUGAGCAAUAACAGGUCUGUGAUGCCCUUAGAUGUCCGGGGCUGCACGCGCGCUACACUGGCAAAAUCAACGUGCUUGUCCUACCCUGAAAGGGCGGGUAAACCAUUGAAAAUUUGCCGUGAUUGGAUCGGAAAUUGCAAUUAUUUUCCGUGAACGAGGAAUUCCAAGUAAGUGCGAGUCAUCAGCUCGCGUUGAUUACGUCCCUGCCCUUUGUACACACCGCCCGUCGCUGCCCGGGACUGAGCCAUUUCGAGAAAUUUGGGGACCGUUGAUUUAAUUUUUCUAAAUUACUUUGAUGGAAACCAAUUUAAUCGCAGUGGCUUGAACCGGGCAAAAGUCGUAACAAGGUAGCUGUAGGUGAACCUGCUGCUG
rnacentral:rRNA from 1 species